CAGCCCCUACCACCAGGGGCCCAGCGGCCUAGGACGGAAGAAUGGUGUGUGGGCCAGGCCCAGGACCCACUGUCCUGUGCAGCCUCAGGACACUGUUCCUUACAUCCCUGCCUCCAGUUCCAACCUCAGCUCGAAGGGCCCCAGAUACUGCUUAUGCCACCACUCUGGAGAGCACAAGUCACCAUAAACCUUGGUGGUUUCCACAUAGUGUUAAGCCUACAGGUGCUUACAGCUAUAAACAUCCCUCUGAGCACUGCUUUCAACGGAUCACAUGUUUUGGCUACUGAUCUACCUACUUUUGUGGAUAUGAUGAUCUGCAUCUUCAAUUUUACACAGUUUUUUGGGAAAAUAUGUAAAAAUGAGCAAAGAUGUUAAAGAAGAUAAGCCAAAGGUAUCAAUGGUAUUAUAGAGGAUACAAAGAAUUAUGAUCAGAUAUUGAAGAGGAUGAUUUUUGUUUAGUGUCCAACAUGCCCAUUUGCUGUGCAUUUUAUUUCCAGAGAUGUUGUCUAAAACACCAGAAUUAUCAUCAGAUAUUGAAGAGGAUGAUUUUUGUUUAGUAAGUUUUUUAUUUAUAACAAUAUCUACUGCAUUGCCCAGGUAACUUCUUUCCUAC